rnacentral:rRNA from 1 species
AUGAACGCUGGCGGCGUGUCUAAGGCAUGCAAGUCGAACGGGUUACUGGAGUCAGCAAUGAUUUUAGUGGCUAGUGGCCAACGGGUGAGUAACACAUUAGUAAUCUGCCCCGAAGUUCAGAAUAACGGUCCGAAAGGACCGCUAAUACUGGACGUGAUUCACGGAUGAUGUCCGUGAAGGAAAGCCCAAAAGGCGCUUCGGGAGGCACUUAUGGCUUAUCAGCUAGUUGGCGGGGUAAUGGCCCACCAAGGCUAUGACGAGUAGCAGGCGUGAGAGCGCGACCUGCCUCAGUGGAACUGAGACACUGUCCACACUCCUACGGGAGGCUGCAGUCGAGAAUCUUCCUCAAUGGGCGAAAGCCUGAAGGAGCGACGCCGCGUGCGGGAUGAAGGGCUUCGGCCUGUAAACCGCUUUUAUUUGGGAAGAAGCGCAAGCUGACGGUACCAAAUGAAUAAGAGGUUGCUAACUCUGU